GCUUUACUGUAGCCUGGUAAUUGUGUUCGGGCUUUCGCUUUGCGCAGGAUAGGUGGGAGGCAUGUGAGAGUGACCCUUGUGGGGGGCUAGUGGAGCCAACGGUGAGAUACCACUCUAGACGAGGCUAGGAUUCUAACCCUUGACCGUCAAUCCGGCGAAAGGAACAGUUAUCAGGUGGGCAGUUUGACUGGGGCGGUCGCCUCCUAAAAGGUAACGGAGGCGCGCAAAGGUUCUCUCAGGCUGGUUGGAAAUCAGCCGUAGAGUGUAAAAGCAUCAAGAGAGCUUGACUGUGAGACUAACACGUCAAACAGGGACGAAAGUCGGUCUUUAGUGAUCCGACGGCAGCUGCGUGGAAUCGCCGUCGCUAAACGGAUAAAAGUUA
rnacentral:rRNA from 1 species